rnacentral:rRNA from 1 species
AUUGAACGCUGGCGGCAUGCUUUACACAUGCAAGUCGAACGGUAACAGGUCUUCGGAUGCUGACGAGUGGCGAACGGGUGAGUAAUGCAUCGGAACGUGCCCAGUCGUGGGGGAUAACGCAGCGAAAGCUGUGCUAAUACCGCAUACGAUCUAUGGAUGAAAGCGGGGGAUCGCAAGACCUCGCGCGAUUGGAGCGGCCGAUGUCAGAUUAGCUAGUUGGUGGGUAAAAGGCCCACCAAGGCGACGAUCUGUAGCUGGUCUGAGAGGACGACCAGCCACACUGGGACUGAGACACGGCCCAGACUCCUACGGGAGGCAGCAGUGGGAAUUUGGACAAUGGGCGCAAGCCUGAUCCAGCAAUGCCG